rnacentral:lncRNA from 1 species
UAAGGGUAGAUGGCGAUGCCUGAGGCAAUCGACUUACAGGUAGGUGGCGCCUGAAGCAAUCGACUUACAAGAGAAAUGGCGAUGCAUGAAGCAAUCGACUUACAAAAGGAUGGAUGAAUACAUGUUGGUUCUGUUAAGUUUUGAAAAUGAUUACUCGACGUUGGAUCGAGCUUUUGAUCUUGUUUUGAAAUGAUUAUCGGAUGUUCGUUUUAACUCUUGUAUUAACAGAUGAAUAAAGAAUGAAAGAAUAAAUAUUAUACACUUUAUGGGAGAGGGGUACAUUUGUUAUGAAUGGGGAUGGUUCAUGGCAAUUAAACAAUAAGAAUAUAUGCCUAAUAAAGAAUGAAAGAAUAAAUAUUAUACACUUUAUGGGAGAGGGGUACAUUUGUUAUGAAUGGGGAUGGUUCAUGGCAAUUAAACAAUAAGAAUAUAUGCCUCAUACAUCAUACAAGUAGGCAACAGUUAUCAAUCAAAUCAGAUAAGCAAACAAUGUAUAAUCAAAUCAAAGAAUCGAAGAAUGGAAUAAUGAAGCAUCAAACAAUGCAUGGGAAGUAUGCACAUGUUGAACAAUCAAAC